UAGGUUUGAUCCUGGCUCAGGACGAACGCUGGCGGCGCGCCUAACACAUGCAAGUCGAACGGAGCUGAGAGGAGCUUGCUUUUCUUAGCUUAGUGGCGAACGGGUGAGUAACGCGUGAGUAACCUGCCCUGGAGUGGGGGACAACAGUUGGAAACGACUGCUAAUACCGCAUAAGCCCACGGUGCCGCAUGGCACUGCGGGAAAAGGAUUUAUUCGCUUCAGGAUGGACUCGCGUCCAAUUAGCUAGUUGGUGAGGUAACGGCCCACCAAGGCGACGAUUGGUAGCCGGACUGAGAGGUUGAACGGCCACAUUGGGACUGAGACACGGCCCAGACUCCUACGGGAGGCAGCAGUGGGGGAUAUUGCACAAUGGGGGAAACCCUGAUGCAGCGACGCCGCGUGGAGGAAGAAAGUUUUCGGAUUGUAAACUCCUGUCGUUAGGGACGAUAAUGACGGUACCUAACAAGAAAGCACCGGCUAACUACGUGCCAGCAGCCGCGGUAAAACGUAGGGUGCAAGCGUUGUCCGGAAUUACUGGGUGUAAAGGGAGCGCAGGCGGACCGGCAAGUUGGAAGUGAAAUCCAUGGGCUCAACCCGUGAAUUGCUUUCAAAACUGCUGGCCUUGAGUAGUGCAGAGGUAGGUGGAAUUCCCGGUGUAGCGGUGGAAUGCGUAGAUAUCGGGAGGAACACCAGUGGCGAAGGCGACCUACUGGGCACCAACUGACGCUGAGGCUCGAAAGCAUGGGUAGCAAACAGGAUUAGAUACCCUGGUAGUCCAUGCCGUAAACGAUGAUUACUAGGUGUUGGAGGAUUGACCCCUUCAGUGCCGCAGUUAACACAAUAAGUAAUC
rnacentral:rRNA from 1 species